AGUAACAACGAUCUACUCUUGCUCUUCUCACAAGCCUCCUCCCUCCCUCCUCCUUUUCUGUAAAGAUCACUCUUCAGCACACAAAAAAAAAAAAAAAAAAAACUACAACAACAACAAUAGCACCAAACAAAAAAAAAAGUCUCAGAUGUCUUCCUUAUCUUCUUCUGAUUUUCCAGUUACUAUUUUUGUAAGGACUCAUAGUACUUCUCCUACAGGACUUAUCUC
rnacentral:lncRNA from 1 species